GACGAACGCUGGCGGCGUGCUUAACACAUGCAAGUCGAACGGAAAGGCCCUGCUUUUGUGGGGUGCUCGAGUGGCGAACGGGUGAGUAACACGUGAGUAACCUGCCCUUGACUUUGGGAUAACUUCAGGAAACUGGGGCUAAUACCGGAUAGGAGCUCCUGCUGCAUGGUGGGGGUUGGAAAGUUUCGGCGGUUGGGGAUGGACUCGCGGCUUAUCAGCUUGUUGGUGGGGUAGUGGCUUACCAAGGCUUUGACGGGUAGCCGGCCUGAGAGGGUGACCGGCCACAUUGGGACGGAGAUACGGCCAAGACUCCUACGGGAGGCAGCAGUGGGGAAUAUUGCACAAUGGGCGGAAGCCUGAUGCAGCAACGCCGCGUGCGGGAUGACGGCCUUCGGGUUGUAAACCGCUUUCGCCUGUGACGAAGCGUGAGUGACGGUAAUGGGUAAAGAAACACCGGCGAACUACGU
rnacentral:rRNA from 1 species